UCGGAGAAGAGCGGCGGACGGGUGAGUAACGCGUAGGUAACCUGCCCUGUACACACGGAUAACAUACCGAAAGGUAUGCUAAUACGAGAUAAUAUGCUUUUAUCGCAUGGUAGAAGUAUCAAAGCUUUUGCGGUACAGGAUGGACCCGCGUCUGAUUAGCUAGUUGGUAAGGUAACGGCUUACCAAGGCGACGAUCAGUAGCCGACCUGAGAGGGUGAUCGGCCACAUUGGAACUGAGACACGGUCCAAACUCCUACGGGAGGCAGCAGUGGGGAAUAUUGCACAAUGGGCGAAAGCCUGAUGCAGCAACGCCGCGUGAGCGAUGAAGGCCUUCGGGUCGUAAAGCUCUGUCCUCAAGGAAGAUAAUGACGGUACUUGAGGAGGAAGCCCCGGCUAACUACGUGCCAGCAGCCGCGGUAAUACGUAGGGGGCUAGCGUUAUCCGGAAUUACUGGGCGUAAAGGGUGCGUAGGUGGUUUCUUAAGUCAGAGGUGAAAGGCUACGGCUCAACCGUAGUAAGCCUUUGAAACUGGGAAACUUGAGUGCAGGAGAGGAGAGUGGAAUUCCUAGUGUAGCGGUGAAAUGCGUAGAUAUUAGGAGGAACACCAGUUGCGAAGGCGGCUC
rnacentral:rRNA from 1 species